rnacentral:tRNA from 1 species
GCUGCUGUGGCGGAAUUGGCAGACGCGCUGGACUUAGGAUCCAGUCCGCAAGGGUGCAGGUUCAACUCCUGUCAGCAGCACCA